GGCAAAGUUUUGUAGAAGCUAAACAAAAGAAUAUUGGGGGUGGGUUUGAGGUGCAAGGGAAGAAGAGAAAGAAUGAAUCAACCACCAAAAUACGCAUAUCCCUAUCCUGCUCAAGGCCAAUAUCAAGGGCCUCCAGUCAUGCCACCUCCACAGUAUUACGCUGCACCUCCGCCCCGCAGAGAACCUGGUUUUCUUGAGGGAUGUGUUGCUGCCCUGUGUUGUUGUUUCCUGGUUGACGAAUGCUGCUGCGAUCCCUCCAUCAUCUUCAUCUGCUGAUCUCAUAAUUCUUUGCGCUACUGUUUCGCACAUAUUUCUACCUACCUACUCCAAUUUAUGUUUGCCAUCCAUUACAACCUGUAACCUUAAUCU